UACGUAGGGUGCAGGCGUUAAUCGGAAUUACUGGGCGUAAAGCGUGCGCAGGCGGUUUCUUAAGUCCGAUGUGAAAGCCCCGGGCUUAACCUGGGAACUGCGUUUGAAACUGGGAGACUUGAGUGUGGCAGAGGGGGGUGGAAUUCCACGUGUAGCAGUGAAAUGCGUAGAUAUGUGGAGGAACACCGAUGGCGAAGGCAGCCCCCUGGGUUAACACUGACGCUCAUGCACGAAAGCGUGGGGAGCAAACAGG
rnacentral:rRNA from 1 species